GCUUGUGUAGCUCAGUUGGUAGAGCGCCCGCUCGACAUGCGGGUUGUCCGGGGUUCGAGUCCCUGCGCAAGCA
rnacentral:tRNA from 1 species